GCUUACGGCCAUACCACCCUGAGAACGCCCGAUCUCGUCUGAUCUCGGAAGCUAAGCAGGGUCGGGCCUGGUUAGUGCUUGGAUGGGAGACCGCCUGGGAAUACCAGGUGUUGUAAGCU
rnacentral:rRNA from 1 species